CUUGAGGUCUAUCCCGACAGGUCUAUCCCAAUGGGUCUAUAGACCUACGUUGUUGGAAGCACCUCCUAGAGUAACUAUGUGGUUUGCUUUACUCACAGAACUAUUGGUUGGAUCUGUGAGACGAACGAUAAGACACAU